rnacentral:lncRNA from 1 species
GAAUAUUUACAUGGUUCACUUCUAUUUGGUGAUCUUAGAUGCUAGAGAAAUUGCCUUGCUCUCUAAGUCCUCACACCUGUGCAGAGCCAAUCUCUUCAUCACUGUUAAGAUUUAAGAAUAUGAAUUAUUCAAAUUAGUUAUAAGAAUGCUUGCUAAUAGUUAACUAUGUUUUGACGAGUUGCACCAUUUGGUCCAAAUUUACUUUAUGAAAAGAGAGGGAAAGAAAAUGGUAGGAAACAGAUGCCGGUUUUGGUUUGGGUAAAAACAUUGUGGUUCCAAAUUCUCAUCCCAACCACCCUUCUACACUUUCCUAAUUUUCUCUACAAUAGCAACACGAAUGACGAUUAAUAGGAGAAUAGAGCAUUACCUCUGGGUAGCAAUUUUGGUGAGUAACUGUCUGAUUGCGUGUGUUUACGAUGAUUUCACAUGAUACUGUUGUCUGUAGACAUAAAAAAAAGAAGGAUCAUGUUAUAAUUGCUCGCACAUCAGCAUCCCUUAAGAAAACCAAAAGCAUAUUUUUCAUCUGAAGCUCAUCAAGGAAACACACCCUUAGCAUUUUGCAUUUUUGAGAUGUAAAUGGAACCAAUCUCAACGAGGAAUAUAUAUAAUCGUCCACCUCAUACAAAUAUAACAUCAACAUAGCACCAAAAUCAUCCUUAAAAAAAAUAAAAAUUGGGGGAAUACAUAAUGAAAUUGUGCAGACUGCUGAGUCCAAAUUUCAAGAUUUAAAGGGUGGAAUACAUGGUUAGUAUAAUACUAUAUCAUACCGUUGUAGCAAACUAUCAACUCAUCUUAAGAAAUAAGUAUACUAUCCAACAAUGAAUAACAAUAAUCAAUUAUGCUCCCAUCUGCAGUCUGUUUGAUUCAAGGUACCUAUCCUCACAUCUCCUAGUUUAUGGAUUUGCUCUAAUUUAUAUAUAUAUAAAAAAAAUAUUCAAGACACAAUGACAUGUGAUUUAAGUCAACAAAGAUGCCCCAAUAAGCAUAAGGCAGUAUUGAUUUCUAAAUUAGAACGAUAUAAACCUAACAAUUUUACAAUUUGUAGAAAUUUCAAACUAGAAAAUGUUAUUAUAAUCUUUGACAGAUUUCUGUAUAGCUACAAAUACUUUUUAUAGCUAAAAGUUUCUAACUACAGCUCGUAAGUAGCAUUAGCUGAUUCAUAAUCUGAGAACAUAGAAGACUUGAACAAGAGAUUGAAGAAAAAUAAUGCAAAAACGAAAAGCGAAAAAUUCGCAUCAAUAUUAUACAAAAACAUACCAUUUCAAGAGUGCAGGUGGUGGGGAAGGCGGCGAGGCGGCUACCACCGAAAAAACAAAUGCUGUUAAACCUGAUCUAGGCAAUCAAAUUGGGGGAGCCAUAUACCUAAUUGACAUAUCCUAAUACGCACUAGACCCAAUUUGACAGAAAAAUUGCAAAAUCAAAAUAGCUAGCACAGAAGAUCUUUAAAACGUAAUUAAUUAAAUCUAAAUCAAUAAACCGGAAGUAAACAAAGCAAUAAACCGGAAGUAAACAAAGCAUGUCAUCAAUUAAAAGCAGCAGCAAUGCAAAUAUCAGCUUAUCGAAAACUAGUGAAAAAACAAAAAGUUCG